rnacentral:rRNA from 1 species
GACGGUCUUGCUGUCACUUAUAGAUGGAUCCGCGCUGCAUUAGCUAGUUGGUAAGGUAACGGCUUACCAAGGCAACGAUGCAUAGCCGACCUGAGAGGGUGAUCGGCCACACUGGAACUGAGACACGGUCCAGACUCCUACGGGAGGCAGCAGUAGGGAAUCUUCCGCAAUGGGCGAAAGCCUGACGGAGCAACGCCGCGUGAGUGAUGAAGGUCUUCGGAUCGUAAAACUCUGUUAUUAGGGAAGAACAUAUGUGUAAGUAACUGUGCACAUCUUGACGGUACCUAAUCAGAAAGCCACGGCUAACUACGUGCCAGCAGCCGCGGUAAUACGUAGGUGGCAAGCGUUAUCCGGAAUUAUUGGGCGUAAAGCGCGCGUAGGCGGUUUUUUAAGUCUGAUGUGAAAGCCCACGGCUCAACCGUGGAGGGUCAUUGGAAACUGGAAAACUUGAGU